CAGUCGCCACGGUAAUACGGAGGGGGCUAGCGUUGUUCGGAAUUACUGGGCGUAAAGCGCACGUAGGCGGCUUGGUAAGUUAGAGGUGAAAGCCUGGAGCUCAACUCCAGAAUUGCCUUUAAGACUGCCGAGCUAGCAGGUGAGAGAGGUAAGUGGAAUUCCGAGUGUAGAGGUGAAAUUCGUAGACAUUCGGAGGAACACCAGUGGCGAAGGCGGCUUACUGGCUCAUACUGGACGCUGAGGUGCGAAAGCGUGGGGAGCAAACAGGAUUAGAUACCCCUGUAGUCCCUGUCUCUUAUAC
rnacentral:rRNA from 1 species